GUGUGUAGACUGCUAUAGAGAAUGCUUUGCCUCUUAAGCCUGGAGUCCUUGACCCCACUCCUCAGUGUGAAGAUUCGGGUCUUCAUAAAUUGCAAUUAUUUAGAACCAAGUGUGUUUCUGUAUUUUAAAUCUUUGUGUAAACACACUUCUCGUAUCCUAAACAAAAAAAAAAGCUCCCUCCCCUACAGAACAUUCCUACAAUCUGUUCAUUACUAUGCAGAUUAUAACUUUAAAUAAACAUGAUCCCUAAACUUCUUAAUAAAGACAAAUUGCCUUCUUUGCUCAUUAUGGAGACAUAUUUUUGAGAUUACGCCGAGAAGGCACGCACUUCUGAGUCACUAUUUCUUUACAUCAGUGGUUUGUGCACAUCUCACCCUCCCUCACCUCCUUGCAGAAUGACUUGAAGCAUUAAGGAUGUGAUUUGGUCCCAUAUUCUCAGAAGAUGCCCCUCUGGUGCUCUUGGGUGAGGUCUCAGAUGCUCUGGCACUAACAGGAGGUUUUGGUGCAAUAUUAACGAAGCAGAACCUAAUUCCGGACAAUUUUCCAUACAUGACGUGGCUAUUAAGAGUUCCGGGGCAGAUGCCAGUUCUAAUGUGAUGAUCAUACUUCCUCUACUUAUUUGUAUUUUUUUUAAUUCAUUGCUACACAAUAAAGACUUUUCCAAUA